rnacentral:misc_RNA from 1 species
AAGUCGUAACAAGGUAUCCGUAGGUGAACCUGCGGAUGGAUCAUUAAGAAGGCUUAUAGGAGUUAUCCUGUUACCUACCUUUUGUGGUGUAGAAAGCAUUGUUGUGUAGGGGGGAGUGCGAUCCGAUGGUGAGUGUGGUGCGGUGUGUUGGUAAUGGGGAGAAUGAUAUAUAUAUAUAUAUAUAUUUCUAUUCCCUCAUCGUCCCUACCGCUACCACCGCCGUCGCCGCCGCAUCUUCCCCCUCUCACCACUAUAUUAACCUUUUAAACCUUUUUCUUUAUCAACUAAAGUAUUACCUUGCGGAUCAUUCUAAACGCCCCCGGCGUGGACGGAUCGAUCAUCAAGUAAAACAAAAUAUAUAAUUAAAUACAACUGCUAGCAACGGAUCACUCGGCUCUC